AAUGAACGCUGGCGGCGUGCUUAACACAUGCAAGUCGAACGAUGACGCCCGGCUUGCUGGCUCGAGGAGUGGCGAACGGGUGAAUAACGCGUGAGUAACCUGCACUUAACUCUGGGAUAAGCCUUGAAACCUGGGACUAAUACCGGAUAGGAGCGUCCACCGCCUGGUGGGUGUUGGAGAGAUUUAUCGGUUUUGGAUGGACUCGCGGCCAAUCAGCUUGUUGUUGUGGUAUGGGCUCACGGAGGCGACGACCGGUAGCCGGCCUGAGAAGGGGACCGGCCACACUGGGACUGAGACACGGCCCAGACUCCUACGGUAGGCAGCGGUGGGGAAUAUUGUACAAUGGGCGCAAGGCUGAUGCAGCGACGCCGCGUGAGGGAUGACGGGCUUCGGGUUGUAAACCUCUUUCCGUAGGGAAGAAGCGAUAGUGACGGUACCUGCAGAAGAAGCACCGGCUAACUACGUG
rnacentral:rRNA from 1 species